rnacentral:misc_RNA from 1 species
AUCAUGACUUCGGUUCGCAUGCCUAAGAGUCGAACGUGUUGUGCCAUAAUGAAACAAAGGCGAAAUGACUUGUCCUCUUCGGAGGAUAGGUGAAUUCCCUUGCCCCACGGAUGGGCAUAACGGCUGGGACUAGUUCCGGCCUGUAGAGUACCAUACAUACGCCUAGCGUAAGUGCUCUAUGGGUGUCUGCGAAACAGCCGAUAUGAUCUAUACGUGCCGGGUUUUUGUCGAUAGACAAUCGACUUCCCGACCUCAACUCAGGUGUGAUUACCCGCUGAACUUAA